UGGCGGACGGGUGAGUAAUGUCUGGGAAACUGCCCGAUGGAGGGGGAUAACUACUGGAAACGGUAGCUAAUACCGCAUAACGUCGCAAGACCAAAGAGGGGGACCUUCGGGCCUCUUGCCAUCGGAUGUGCCCAGAUGGGAUUAGCUAGUAGGUGGGUAACGGCUCACCUAGGCGACGAUCCCUAGCUGGUCUGAGAGGAUGACCAGCCACACUGGAACUGAGACACGGUCCAG
rnacentral:rRNA from 1 species